UCUGUGGUCAGUCGUGUCGAAACUUCUAAAGCGUUACCGUGCAAAAAUUUCGCUCCGACUUGUAACUGGGAUUUUUCGUGGGGAAAAUGCCUCUGACCAAUGCUGAGAAGCAACGACGCUAUAGGGAAAGAUUAAAAGACAACCCUGAAAAAAAA